GACAACUCGCGGGGAUUGUUUUCCACACCGUGGAAGCUUUGUUCUUUUCGUUUUUUGCAAUAAAUCUUGUUGCUGCUCGCUUUUUGGGUCCACAUUGCUUUUAUGAGCUGUACCACUCACCGUGAAGAUCUGCAGCUUCACUUCAGAGCCUAGCGAGACCACAAGCUCACUGAGAGGAACAAACAACUCCAGACGCGCUGUCUUAAGAGCUAUAACACUCACCGCGAAGGUGUGCAGUUUCACUCCUGAGCUAGUGAGACUACGAAGCCACUGGAACGAAGAAACUCCAACCACGUUUGAACAUCAGAAGGGGCAGACUCCAGACGCUUCAUCUUAAGAGCUGUAACACUCACUGUGAAGGUCUGCAGCUUCACUCCUGAGCCAGCGAGACCACGAACCGAUCUGAACAUCAGAAGGGACAGACUCCAGAUGCCCCACCUUAAGAGCUGUAAUACUCACUGCAAGGGUCUGCAGCUUCAUUCUUGAAGUCAGACCAAGAACCCAGCAAUUCCCAACACACAGGGACCAGCUUCUUUCCUAACUCACUUAGGCUCUUCGUGCUGCUCUGGCAACUAACACCCUUGGCUGCAGGGGCUUGGACACUACCCUUAGUCACUGACAAUUGUGUGAAGGCUGCUGUCGUUAACUUCACUUGAUCACCUUAGGCUCCUGUGAAGUGGUGAGCAAUUCAAACAAAUUCCUGUCGUCAAAUCAUGUAAGUCACCUAAGUUUUCCUAUUUAAAAAGCGCUUUCAGCAUGCACUAUUUAUGGGCUGAGGAAUCAUUCCUUCUUUGUUUUGUUACAAAUGCUCAUUUUCAUGUAUGAGGCCUUCCUAAAGUGAAAAAUGCACAGUGUAAACAUUGCCUAGUCCCGCCUGUGGUGAUUCCUGCAGAAUUGACACUCCCCAGCACUUCCCUUGUGGGGAGGCACACGAGCAUAAGCUACCUGGUAAUGGAGCUGACUGUGGGCUCCUUCAUAAGCAUACAGUUCUCGUGGCUGUGACAUUUAUUAAUAGAAGUAUACCUGGGGGUGUUGGCAGCCAAACUGCCCUGAGCAAUGUGUCCUAACCUUCACUAGUUUCUCCUGUUGGGGAUAGAACAUAUUCUUGGGUUUCAUUUUAGAAGCAUUCUGUCAAAUUACAAGCCUUUUUAUUGCAACUAAAAUUUCUGUCCUGUGUUCUCUGUGCCUUCUGCAGACCAAUAUUCUCCUCUAGGCCCAAGGACUUAAAAUGCAGACUGUAUUAUUUUUCAGCAUGUCAAGGCCAACAGAUGAGGAGGUGGCUGCCAUUGAAAAGAUAGUUUGCUAUACAGGCAGAUCCCAAGUCGAGGGGGCACAUAUGCCCUGGGGAGCCAUGUGAGAAGUACCAGGGUAGGUCAGGAGGCAGAAGGAGCAGGGGAAGGCAUAGCAAGUGUCUUUAUUGUGGUUUCUGUGCGGAGGAGAUAGGGAGCCAGACUAAGCAGUUUCAAAGAUUGGUCAGUUUGAUAAUUUCAGCAGGCUCCGCGGACUAGGGGCUGUCCCUAGUUGUCUUGUACCUGGUCCUGGGGUGAUUAGGGUAGAUGGAUGGUGGCCCAGAGUAUGAAAGCCAGUAAGGGUGGUUGGAUGUGGGCUCAUGGAUGGAUUGGUGUGCAUGUGUCAAGCAAACUAGCAGACGAGUCCUUUAUCAUCUCUAGGAACUGGCUAAUUCCUAGGACAGUCCAAGGUCAGCAUGACCCCAUAAUGUCAAAGCAUCAAAUACAGAAACUAGAAACCAUGGUGAUGACACACACCAAUCGCUGUGGACCCCUGAUUGAUGGAGAGAUUUGAUUUUAUCUGUUGCGGGAACACAAAACCAAACGUGGCAUGCCUGUAUGCUUCAUGCAAAAGACCUUCCAACAUGAACAAGGCUCUGUGCAGAUAUCAGUGUUGCUUUUUAAAAUCUGAAUGGGUGAUACAUUCCUGCGGUCCAAAAAUUAAAAAGCUUUGAAAGGUUUUGUAGAAAGUAUCACUCUGCUUCCUGUCCUUAUUCUACCCCCCAAAAUUGAUUAAUUUCUGGUAUAUCCUGCCAAUAUUUCUUCAUGUAAAUGCCAACUGAAUGUAAGCAUACACUUCUCAGACAAUAGCUAAAAGAAUUCCUCUGGAGCCUAUAUAAUUUAGCAUUCAUGGUCAAUAAUAACGUGUCUUGAAGCUAUAUCUAUAUUUUCAUCUGUCUAUCUCUUAUCUACCUGAAGCACUUCGGAAAUAGAUGAUCUGCUCAAACUUGAUAAGUUUUGCUUCUAAAGGGCUUGGUUGAUGUGCAGUACAUCAUAUCUUAAAUAAGUAAUUUUAUUAGGAUUCUGGGCAAAGCAUUACACUUCCUGUUAUUCGCUCCUGUUUUGGGGGUGGAGGUGAGGAUGGGGUGGUGGGGAGGUGGCCAAGGGUGGUGAAUUUGCCACAGGCCAAGGGGAUGCUCUUGGUCUUGCAGAUCGUAACCUGGAGAGCAAAUUUCUCUCCUGUGGGCACACUCAUAUUAAACAGUCUUGAGGCAGAUGUCCAAACACCAAAAUAGCUGCCCAUUUAUGUAUGUACAAUAGAAAUAACUGACCCCAAAAUCAGAAUACUUCGAAAUCAUGUCCUGCCAGAGUAUUUACUCCCUACAAGUGGGGAAAGUCAAAUAGUGAUCUAAAUCUGGCUCUGCUAAUACAGAAAAUGUAAUAGAGGGAAUUAAUUACAUUAAUGCCACUGGAAAUAUUAUUGUGUAAAGACUUUGGAGUUUUCAGAGGGCAUUUUCACACCAAAAAAAAAAAUCAAUAAGCAAUUUUAAAAAGUGACUAUACCAUGCUUUUUCUUUCUCUCUGUGGACGAGUGAAAACUUGACAUAGGCAAUGAGUUUAUUGGAAAUCUCUGAGUUGAAUGAAGAGACAACAGGAGUGAAUUCACCCAUGGAAGUCUAAGCCAUAGCAUCUCUUAUGUCAGAGUGGCCUUGCCUAUAGUGUGACUGAAAUGUUCAGAUGUGGGUUAGGAGGGAGGACCCUCUUCCUAGUCUUAGAGUCCCAGCUCACCAGGGAAACAUUUCUCCAGGAGGAGUGUUGAUGGUGGGAAGACAGGGCACUUAGAUUUCCGUGCUCUGUGUCCUCUUGGAUGGAACUAUUAUGGCUGACUGCUGGAUUAGACACUCAAAAGUUGGUUGGCUUGUUCUAGAUUCCUCUCCACCAGGUAGUGCUUGAUAGGCAAUGAACAAGUUUGCUUCUGCAAUGCUACUGUGGCUGACUGCCCUUCCCCUAACACAUUCUUCCUUAGACACUUCAGUACAUUUAGACAGGUCUUACAGCCAAGAUUCAAGAUCCAUUCUUUCUAUUCAAAAAUAAUUUGAACAUAUCAUUUAUUCUAAUCAAGUGUCAAUUUUGGAAUAUAACAUACAAAUAGCAAUAUUUUAUUAUGAUUUUAUUAUUGUUUUUAAUGUUAGGGUCUCAUUCUGUCGCCUAGGCUGGAGUGCAAUGGCGUGAUUAUGGCUCACUGCAGCCUUGACCUCCUGGACCCAGGUGAUCCUCCCACUUUAGCCUUUCAAGUAGCUGGGACUACAGGUGUGUGCCACAAUACCCGGCUAAUUUUUUAAAAAUUUUAAUAAAGACAGGGUCUUGCUAUGUUGUUCAUGCUGGUCUAGAACCCUGGGCCUCAAGAAGUCCUCCUGCCUCAGCCUCCCAAAAUGCUGGGGCCAAGAAGAAAGAACAGAUCUGGAGGUGGAGAUUUUGGAGGAUCAUAACAAAAGAGGAAAUAUGUAAAGCCAUGAGACUGGACUUGAUCACUACGAGAGCAGGUAUAGAUAGAAAGGAGUUCUGAGGACUGAGCCCUAGAGCCUCCCUAAUAUUAAGAGGUGCCAGCAAAGCAGAGUGAGGCACAUGUGAGCUUGGGUUACGCAGCAAAUGCUAACUGAUACAAGGGCCAAUUUCCUUCAUGUGCAAAGAACUCCUCCUCCUCUUUCUUAUUCAAAGAACCCCUAUGAAUCAAUAAGUAAAAUAAUAAAAGGAGAGUGAGAAGUGCCAGGGAAUAUGAGAAAAGUGAGGAGAAUGAGGAGUCUUGGAAGCCAAAUGAAGAAAGUGUUUCAAGGAACAGCCAAAGAUCAGCGCAUAAGAGAUAGUUAUUAUACCUACGAUGAGGGUGGGAAAAGAAUGCCAGAUUUGAACACAGCAGAAGUCACUGUCAACCUUCACAAGAGCAAUUUUAGUGGAGUGAUGAGGGCAGCAAAGACAUGAUUGGAAUAAAAAGGUGUAUAGUAAAAAUUCUCCUUCUCCCUCCUAUCAAUCAUCUGCUCAUUUCCCAGAACCCCUACCCCCACCCAGGGAACCACUUUUAUUAAUUUCUUAUUUAUACAUUGAGAGUUUUUAUGCAAAUAUAAGUAUACAUGGAAAAUAUAUAUUCUCACUCUGUGGUUUUCAAAUUUAAAAGUUAGCAUUCUAUGUAUACUUCUCUAUACCUUGCUAUUUUUCCUAAGCUAUCUUAAGGCUCUUUCCUAUCUGUUCUUAAAGAGCUUCCUCAUUCUUGGUUGGCUUCUGUACAGUGGUUCAUUGUGGACAUGCCCUGACCAGUUCCCUGUUGAUAGACGUGGGCUGUUUCCAAUGUUUUAUUGAUUAUACAAACAAUUCUUCAGUGAAUGACCUUUUCACAAUACAUGUGUGGGUAUAUUUAUAGGGCAAUUCUUCCAAAGUGGAUUUCUGGGUCCAAGGGUAGAUGAUAAUUUGGUAGAUGUUGCAAAUUUCCACAGUUUGCAUUUCCAUCAGCAACAUGUGUGAAUACAGUUAAGUCUCUAUUGAUGGAAAGUGAGAUUAUUUCAAAUAUUUUGCCAUUGCAAAAUAAGCAGCAAAGGAUACACCUGAAUAUUCAAAAAUUUCUUAUGCAUGAGAAUAUAUUUGCAGAAUAGAGAUCCUGAUUGAUUUGUAGGGGUUCUUUCUAUUAUCAUGUGAAGGAAAUUAGCCCUUAUAUCAGUUAGCUUUUACUGUAUGAGACAAGCUCCAAAGUGGACGGCUAAACAGCUGUUUAUUCAGCUGCUGGUUCUUUGGGCCUGCAAUAUGGGUUGGGAUUAGCUGGGUGGUUCUGCUCUUUGGGGCCAGGGUAGGCUGAUCUUGGCUGGCCUUGUUGAGGAACAGCUAGGGUGGGAGUGCUCAGCUGGGUGGUUUUUUUCUUUCUGCUCCAUGUGGUCAAUCAGCCUCCAUCUAGCUGGCCUAGGCUUUUUCACAAGGCAACUCAUGGUUCAAGAGCAGUCAGGCCAAAUGCCCUUGCACAAGUGCUUUUCAAGCCUCUGCAUCACAUUUGUACUAUCCCAUUGGCUGAGGUGAGUCAAGUCCAGUGUCCAUGUGGUAAGACACUACCCAAGGGCAUGGAUACAGGGAAGCAUGAACAAAUCGGGGUCAUUACUGCGAUCAAUCUAUGGUGGCCCACAAAGGCCUAAUCUUAAUUCUCUGUCAUAAGUAUUUUGGGUUAUCACUCUAAUUUGUUUAUUGAUAAAGCAAGGGACUGUGCUAGAAGUGGCAAUGAUCCUUGAAGCAGCUGAUCACAACAGUUUCAGUUCUGGAAUAUGAGCUUCCUUAGAGUGAAGGUCUUGCCUUCUGUAGAGAGACCACUCGUGAUGGUGACAGCCAUGAGGACCAGGUGCAGGACUAUGCAGGACGUGGAAUGGCCUCACUUUUGUGGCUUUAAAAAUAAAUUUUUAUUUUCCAAAGCAGUCCUCUUUCCUUCACUCAAACGGAGCUUAAUGACCAGGUAUCCCUCUGGCAUUCCACACAACCCAGCAGGACAGGUUUGAUCUCUGCUGAUUUCAGCUGCUAAUGUGUUUCAGUGGAAACAGACUGCAUCCAAGCCAGGACCUUCAGAAUCACGCUGGGACAGUCAGGUGACUGAAGAGAAAUUUUGACUCAUUGAAAAUAGUCUUCUUGACCCUUGUUCCCAUCUAAUUUAUAUUUUUCAUUUCAUAAAUGGAGUUGACUGAGUCAGCCCAGGAGCUUGCUAUUUUGGGGAGAAAAGUCUAUGAUAAAAUCCAUGAAAUUAGUCCUCUGAGAGUGUGGGCAGAGAGGUGACAGUGACUGUGCAACCCCUGAGGCAUGAGUGUUUCUGUGAUGUGAUGCUGUCACCCACAUGCAGGCCUGAGGAACCAAGGAGAGCCCUUGACAGCGGGCAGGAAGAGGAGGAGAAAGAAGUGACUUUUAUUGAGCACCUACUGCAUUCCAAGCACUGCACAAGGCACUGUGUGUACAGAGACACAUAAGAUGCUGUCUCAGUCCUGAAUAGACAUCAGCUAGCAUGAAGAAAUCCCACAAAAACACAGUAUCAAGAAGGAAGAGGAGAAGGUGGAGCCAGAUAGAGAAGGAGGAAAAAUAAACAAACGGAAUUACAGCAAAACAAGGGUAGUGAGAAGGUACGUCAAAGACCAACUACCUGGUGGGGUAUUGGAAGAUUUUAACCACUGUCCAAAGAGGCCCUGACUAUUUCAGUCUCUGGUUCGCCUGCAGAUAGCAUCAACUCAUGGAGAGUUUGAGUUUCAAAUCCACUCCUAGUUGCAAGGGCAGGAUCCACAGCCUGUUUAUCCGAGACUGCUCUGCACUUCCUGCUCAGAUUUGAGAGUUAGUUAUGUGGCCUGGAAACUUCUUUCUCUAAGCUAAACUCCUUUGGCAUGUGAUUUGCAUCCAGACAAGAGCUGAGCAGCUUAAAGUCCCAGGAACUCCUUCAGGGGCGCUUGGAUCUUAUUAAAUGAGAUCAGAGCCCUGGUGUGUCCUGCUCAGUGCCAGCAUUCCCACCCUGAAAAGAUGCCUUGCACACAGAAGGCGAGAAACAACCAUGCGUUGAGCGAGUGUGUCAUUGUGUCUGGAACAGGCUAACGCCUUUCCCAAGCACCCAGGGUACCCCAGGGAGUCUGAAUUUUCUCUGGAAAUGACCCCUUCAUUCUUUCCCAGCUUGAUCUUCAGUAGUCCCAGGGUGGCCGUGAGAGGGUAUUUGCUCCUCUCCUUCACUGGAAUUUCUCCUCCCGCUCACCAGAAAGAAGAAUGAGGAAGUGUACAUGACAGAUUCUCUGGGUCUGGCUUAUUUGUUCAAGGAACACAUUUGGGCCAGCACCCAAGGAUAAGGGACAGCCCUGCCAGGCUCCCCUGGGGACUGUGGAGGGCAGGGUGUUUGGUUUCUGGGCUCAUCAAAAGCAAGGUGGCAGUUGAGAUUUGGAAGAUCCCAGCUCAUCCAGUGGGCAGCAGCCAGAUGGCAGGAGUUUCCCCACUGAGCAGGUGGGCUGUGGUCUGGGUCUCUGGAAGUCACACAGACCUGGCCUGGGGGGCACUGGCUCUGUUCUGCCCCUGCCCUGUGCUCAUGCGGAGGCUGGGCUUCCGACUGGCUUUGCUGGAGCACCCAGGAACCUGAUGGGUAGAGCCUGGCCUGGACCAGCCUUGUUCUGUGUGAAGCCCUGAUGCCUGGCCUUUCUUCUGUCAGGGAUCCUACUCCCAUAUUUCAUGCUGGAGUGUGUGCCCUCUCCAAGCCCAUUGCCCCCAGAACCACUGCCCCGUCAUCCAUCAAGCACAAUGUUGCGUCACCAGGAGUGGGGCUCCUGAUGGAUUCAUUACUUCAUAUGUCGGGUUUACAAACCUGUACCUCCCUAUCUAUCUCUCUCUCUCCCCCCCUCCCCCCCUUUCUGUAACACACACACACACACACACACACACACACACACACACACACACACAGAGAUCUCAGAACCCACACCACCCAUUCUGUGUGGCUGGCUCUAUCACAGUGAGCUAGAAGCCAGUUUUGGAGAUGAAUUGACUGGAGCAUCUCUACAAAGUUAUGUUUUCACAAUUUUUUUUUAAGAGACAGUGUCUUUCUGUGGCCCAGGCUGGAGUACAGUGGUGCCAUCACAGCUCACUGCAGCCUCAACCUCCUUGGCUCAAGCGAUCCUCCCACCUCAGUCUUCUGAGUAGCUGGGACUAACAGGUACAUGCCACCAUGCACAUCUAACAGGCUUGACUAGAUUUCUUCAUUGACUUUAUUAUCUUCUUGAUAAUCAAUUUGAAAAACUGACAUUGAGCAGGGCCUAGCUUAUGGUUGCCUUGGUAGGUUGGCGGGAAUACCCCGGAUUCUUUAGCAAGCCUGGCUGUUUUCCUUCUCAUACACAAAGUGGUCAAGCCUGCUCUUGGCAACCGCGAUUGACUGCAUUCACUCCCUUCCCUGAUUAUCUCAUCCAGAUAGGUCCAAGUGCCAUUCUGUUGUUACUUGCUUGCUAUUAGUAAUUGUGACUAUACUUCGAUAGUGAAGUAAUUUUGUUGUAAUUCUCUUAGUUACGUGUUUGUUUAUUCAUUUUUAUUAUGAUUUUUUGAGACAAAGUUUCGCUCUUGCCACCCAGGCUGGAAUGCAGUGGCACGAUCUUGGCUCACUGAAACUGCUGCAUCCUGGGUUCAAGCAAUUCUGCCUCAGCCUCCUGAGUAGCUGGGAUUACAGGUGCCCGCCACCACGCCCAGCUAAUUUUUUAUGCUUUUAGUACAGACGGGGUUUCCCCAUGUUGGCCAGGCUGGUCUUGAACUCCUAACCUCAGGUGAUUCGCCUGCCUCGGCCUCCCAAAGUUCUGGGAUUAUAGGCGUGAGCCACUGCACCUGGCUAAUUUUUUGUAUUUUUAGUAGAGAUGGGGUUUCACCAUGUUGGCCGGGCUGGUCUUGAACUCCUAACCUCAGGUGAUCACCCACCUCGCCCUCCCAAAGUGCUGGGAUUACAGGUGUGAGCCACCGUGCCUGGCUUAUAGUUAUGCAUUAAUAAAUGUCAGAGCUGCUGUGAUAAGUCACAAAGGCAGCACUAGAGCACAGUCACUGUACAGUCUUUGGAGUCAAACUGACCCAAGUUCAAACUUGGCUACACCACUGAACAGCCAUGUAAUUCUGAGCCAGUCACAUGACCUCUCUGAGCCUCAGUUUACUCAACUGAAGACAGAAUAACUACUUGUCUGGGUCAAUAUGGGAAUUAAAUGAAAUAAAGGAUAUAAAUCUGUUAGCACAGUGUCUAGGAUAUGUGGCCCACCAAAGAUAGACUGUUACUGGAGAUCUAUUUUUGGAACAAUCCAUAUUAGAGAUUGAUCUAGAAAAACUUGUAUUUGUUUCCUUACAUAGGAAGCAAGCUGUUCAUUUUAAUAAAUACAAAUUUAUAUUUCUAAGUGAGUGUAAGAGGAGUUUGUAUGAUUCACAGCUUGCGUGUCUACGACUGGGUUCAGAAGGAAAGCCAGGGCCUGUGCGUUUCUGAGGUUGGAGCAGACCCUGCCCUCCCGUGGGCAUCCUGUGCUCUCUGGUGGUGCUAUGAGCUGGACGGGUCAUUGCUUGGUAAGACCUUUCUCAUCUCUUCAUGGCUAAUUAGGAUGAAAACACUCAGCACGGAUCUGAAGAAUGUGCCCUAGGACUGGGACAGAGAAAAACAGGGUGAAGAAAGCAGGUGAAGAUCAGAGUUUGUUUUGAAUGUAACCAGCUUUGUGCAUCGCUGUUUACACUUGUGGAACAAAGGCCCUGGGGCAUGCUGUAGAAUUUCAGCCUCCCUAGUGGACGUUGGCCCUGCUGUCCCUCUUGGAGGAGCUGAGAUGCUGCCUGGCCCCCUUGCCCCCCAGACAUAGGCACUCACACACAGAAUGACUUCACGGCCCAGCCUCCUUGCUGCCUUUAACUCAGUGAAUCUGCUGUCGCACUGUUUGUUGACCUGGAGGUACAAACGCCUGAUUAUAGUACAAGGAGUUGUCUCUUCCCUGGGUAUUAAAAACAUUAUUAGGGGUCAAAAUCUCAAACCAAGAGAGCAGGCUCUGAUGGUUGGAUUGCAGCACUCAGCCUGUGGGCAGAGGAAGGGUUGGAGAUUCAGUGUCACAAUAAAUGCCUGGUCCUACCCAGAAGUUGACCCUGAAAAUGUUGAGUAUGGACCCUGAAUUGUCUUAGCAAAGCUGUGAUGAAAUGACAAGCUUAGCUUCAGGACUAAGUGGACUUGUUAGAAACCAGUUUCCUCUAUGAAUGGACUUGAUGGAAGGCCAAGCAUGUGAGGGAAGCCCCCAGCCUACCACGCCAUCUCCUGCUCGAAGCUUUUGGGAGUUUUCAGGAAAGUGCAGAGACUUGAGUUUCUGUAAAGCUGCCGGAUAGCUGUGAUCGUGACCUCAAAGUCCAUCCUCCUUCACGGUCUUCCUUCCGCUGGAAUUUGGUGUGAUUAAAAGGAUUUGGGCUUUAAGUCUGAGACACGUGGGUUUAAAUCCUCCUUCCUGCCUGCCUGCAUUCAGUCACUGGUCUCACAAAUAGGUGUAGGACAGAUACUCUGCGUGGGGUCUGGGGUUAUAGACAAGGCAGACGAGGGUCCUGACGCUGAGGGGGUUUACGUUUUAGCUGGAAUGACAUGCAAUGCAGUGGUAAGUUACAACAGGGAUUGUGACCAGGUAAGUGCAUGUCUAUGGAAAAACAAUGUGGCUGCGGGUCUGAGGGGGCUUUCGUGAGUGACUUAACUGAGUGCUGAAAUGUGGAAAGAGGGUAAGUGAGGGGGGUGGGAUGUAGGGAAGAGCAGCCAGAGAGAGAACAGCAUGUGCAAAGGCCCUGAGGCAAGAAGGAAUCUGGCCCAAGCAUGUGGCACUUCAGUUUACUACCUGCUUCCCUACAUUGCUCAAGAAGAGUGAGUUAGGCUGGGCACAGUGGCUCAGGCCUGCAAUCCCAGCAUUUUGGGAUGCCAGGGCUGGGGGAUGGCUUGAGGCCAGGGGUUUGAGACCAACCUGGGCAACAUAGCGGGACCCCCAUCUCUACAAAACAUUUUUAAAAAGUAUCCAAAGGCAGUGAUACACAUGUGUACUCCUAGCUACUCAGGAGGCUGGAGGAUUACUUGAGCACAGGAGGUCAAGGAUGCAGAGCUAUGAUUGCACCACUGCACACUGCACUUCAACCUGGGUGACAGUGUGAGCCCCUGUCAAAGAAAAAGUGCAUUGUAAAGAACAAUGAGUGUGAAGUGCCAUAUUGGCUGGCUCAUAAUAGGUCUUCUGUCCAAGGACUUUGAGUGUCCACCUCCUCCUUAUUAAAGCCCUCUCAAACUUUGCUUUUCUUGAAAAGAGUGGAAUUUAGAUGAUUUUGCAGCAAUUGGGAUCCAGGAAGCCAGAAGCCCCACAUAGCCCAGGACUGGCCUGUGAAUGAUAAAGAGGUGGAAUUGUGUUAUUGAGCAAACAAGUAGGUGGCAGAUGCUGCUGCCUCAACCAGCUCUUGGUGGGAUCGGCUACAAGGGUGUGCAUUUUCCACUGUACCUACCUUUGUCCAAAAAUUACUGGUUCCUUCCUCACACUGCAUGAACAAGCCACAUGACUAUAGGAUUUCUCAGAGAUAGGUCUCAACUGAGCCUUAAUUAUUCAUAUGGAUGGAUUAAUUAUGAUGAAUCAAGGGGUGCAGCAUGUGGGUUCACCAGUAAAACAAGAGCCCGUGUGGACAGAGUUUGGCAGAGACAGGACCUGCUGCUCCGCCCAAUUUAAUUUAAUGCAUGCCUGGGCAGAGGGGUUUCUUCAGUCCUGACUUACCCUUGACUUCCCGGCUACACUCUGUGGGUUUCAGGAGUGACUUCUCUAACACCUUCUGGACCAGGAGGAGAAGCAUUGUUAGGGCCUGUCCCCGGGGUCCUGGGCUCCAAGGCCGGGCUGUGUUGAUCUUGAAUUGAUGAUGGCUCUGCUGAGGUUGCUUUUGUGUUUGCUUCUUGAUCGCUUGUUGUGAAAUGUGUUCAGUAGUAGUCAUGAAGCAGAUCUUUGGCAUAAAUUUUCAUCCCAGCAAGCAGUGCAUGAAAUUGAAAAUCAGCAGAGCCAAGGAGAGGGAGCCCAGGCUCCCGACAAAUGUGGACUCCUUGGAGAUGUCCCACCUGGAUGGCGGGAACAGCCUCUCUGGGGCCUCUGAGUGCUCUGCUGCCCCACAUCACCUCCUCACCCUGGCAGAGCCCGGCUCUCUCCAGGGACUCCACUUUCCUUUCACUGCUUCCAGGGGAGGCUGCUAAUUUUCCGUGUCCUCCAAGAUUUGCACAUUACCACUUGCAGAUCAAAAGCUCUCUCCCGCACAAGCACCAGUAUCUCUGAGGCUCCAGCUCCGCCAACCUCCAUUCCAUCAUCCAGGGCCUCAUAGCUCCUCACAGUGCCCCCUCACUUGCAGGCAUGCUGACGGUGCAGCCUUAGCACCUCGUGCUCUAGCCCUCCAAACACACUGCCUUCUGCUGGCCUCAGACACGCACUCCCACAGCCACAAGCUGGACUCUGAUGAUAUGAAACUGCAACCUAUAAAAGAAUAAAAUCAAACCUGCCACUCUUUGGCUGCAACCUCUUGCUCUUUCUAGCUCAGUGUCCUACUGAUUCUAACUGCAAUCAAAAGCAUAUGUGUAUGUGUUUGUGUGCAUGUGUGUGUAUAUACAUAUGUGUAUA
rnacentral:lncRNA from 1 species